CCCCGCGGCGCCCGCCGACCCCGUCGCGGGCUUCUGACGUCACAGGGAGCGCGACUGAGCCUCGCGAACCCGACCACGUCCUGUCACAGGCCGCACCGGCAUCGCCGCGGCCUGUCGACCCCGUCGCGCUCCCCGUGACGUCACAGCCGGCGACUGCGACCCGCGCAGGCGCACGGCAGAGAUCCUCUGUUUCCUCCUCGGCGGCGGCGGCGGCGGUCGAUCCCGUGAUUCCCCGCGGCGUCCCCGACCCCGUGAAUACCAAUCGAUACUAAUCAAUUAUCAAUAAUCGAGGUAAUCAGUAAAUCGUGGCGCAGGCCUUUGUUCCCAGCACUCGGGAGGCAGAGGCAGGGGCAUGAAGGUGAUGGGAUGGCGAUCAACGCUCAUGAUAACCGUUGCUGCAUCCGAUUGAUGAAUUAGAAGACGCAGCUUCAUCAUCUCUACUGUUUUCCGAUUAUUUGUUUCCCAGCAGACACAACGCGGACACAAAUCAACAAGGAACGGGGGGUGUCGUCCCAGGAGCCCAGCCCCGGCCGCUCACGGAAACCCCGUCCCAACCACGUGUGGCGUCGAUGCUCACGGCUCCUCGGUGAGUGAUGGCGGCCAAGCUUUCCGGGUUCGUGUUUCUGUGUGAAACCGAGGAUGCAAGCAGGAACCGUGAAGAGCAGCACUGAAACCACGUGAUGAGGAGGAGGCAGAGGAAGUGAACCGUGUGUGUGUGAGACACAGUUCCCCCCCGUCACGUUUCAGAUUAUUUUAUGUUUAUGCAGAAGUGCACACACGUUCAAUGAGCGCCGAUAUUAAAUCUCCCACUUCCGGUAUCCAAUAAACGGGAAAGGAAGAUAUUGUCAAAUAAAAUCUGGAUUCUGUAUAUAGAUCAA